UGCACAGUUAUCUGUUAUAAAUCGACUCAGAUGAAUAUUCUAUUAUUUAGAUGUACAAUAUAAGGAAAAUACUAGAAAAUUAUGUCAAUUUUAUAUGAUAUAAUCAAGAAGUUCUAUUUCUGUGAAAGGAUUACAUAUGAUACAUUGAACAAAAUUUAAUUAUACUACACAAUUCAUAUUAUUUCUACGGAAAAGGAAUCUUAACCUCACAAAUAAGGAAUUUUAUCCAUUAUCAACGUAAGUAUAGUUGGUGACCCCCUGGCUAAGGCUUCGCGACCCCCUUAGGGGUCGCGACCCACAGAUUGAAAAACACUGCGUUAUAGUAUGCCUCGACACUGUUUCAGAGAACAUCAGUUGUGAGUUUGAAGUUCAAAGGUGCUAAAGUGUUAAUUCUAUAAAUAAAUGCGGACUGAGAGUCAGCCGCCAGUAACAAAUAAAUAUUUUGAAACUUGUUAUUUUUUAUUUCAUGAAAGUGUACUUCUAAAUAGAAA